GAAAUGCGAUAAGUAAUGUGAAUUGCAGAAUUCAGUGAAUCAUCGAAUCUUUGAACGCACAUUGCGCCCCCUGGUAUUCCGGGGGGCAUGCCUGUUCGAGCGUCAUCUAAACCUUCAAGCCCCGCUUGGUGUUGGGUGCCUGUCCCGCCUCCGCGCGCGGACUCACCUCAAAUCCAUUGGCGGCCCCCGCGUCGGCCACGAGCGCAGCAGAAACGCGAACUCGUGAGCCCGUCCGGGCGGCUCCCAGAAGCUACACCCACCCAGUUUGACCUCGGAUCAGGUAGGGAUACCCGCUGAACUUAAGC
rnacentral:misc_RNA from 1 species